rnacentral:ncRNA from 1 species
CAACGGGGUGCCACGCCUGUGCGUGCGCUGAGAAAAUACCCGUCGAACCUGAUCCGGAUAACGCCGGCGAAGGGAUUUGAG